CAGUCGAACGGAGUUAAGAAAAGCUUGCUUUUCUUGACUUAGUGGCGAACGGGUGAGUAACGCGUGAGUAACCUGCCCUGGAGUGGGGGACAACAGUUGGAAACGACUGCUAAUACCGCAUAAGCCCACGAUCCGGCAUCGGAUUGAGGGAAAAGGAUUUAUUCGCUUCAGGAUGGACUCGCGUCCAAUUAGCUAGUUGGUGAGGUAACGGCCCACCAAGGCGACGAUUGGUAGCCGGACUGAGAGGUUGAACGGCCACAUUGGGACUGAGACACGGCCCAGACUCCUACGGGAGGCAGCAGUGGGGGAUAUUGCACAAUGGGGGAAACCCUGAUGCAGCGACGCCGCGUGGAGGAAGAAGGUUUUCGGAUUGUAAACUCCUGUCGUUAGGGACGAUAAUGACGGUACCUAACAAGAAAGCACCGGCUAACUACGUGCCAGCAGCCGCGGUAAAACGUAGGGUGCAAGCGUUGUCCGGAAUUACUGGGUGUAAAGGGAGCGCAGGCGGACCGGCAAGUUGGAAGUGAAAACUAUGGGCUCAACCCAUAAAUUGCUUUCAAAACUGCUGGCCUUGAGUAGUGCAGAGGUAGGUGGAAUUCCCGGUGUAGCGGUGGAAUGCGUAGAUAUCGGGAGGAACACCAGUGGCGAAGGCGACCUACUGGGCACCAACUGACGCUGAGGCUCGAAAGCAUGGGUAGCAAACAGGAUUAGAUACCCUGGUAGUCCAUGCCGUANACGAUGAUUACUA
rnacentral:rRNA from 1 species